UGGGGAAUAUUGGACAAUGGGCGGAAGCCUGAUCCAGCAAUGCCGCGUGUGUGAAGAAGGCCUGCGGGUUGUAAAGCACUUUCGGUGGGGAGGAAGGUCUGAUGGUGAAUAGCCAUGAGAUUUGACGCUACCCACAGAAGAAGCACCGGCUAACUCUGUGCCAGCAGCCGCGGUAAUACAGAGGGUGCGAGCGUUAAUCGGAAUUACUGGGCGUAAAGGGUGCGUAGGUGGUUAGUUAAGUUAGAUGUGAAAUCCCUGGGCUUAACCUAGGAAUGGCAUUUAAGACUGAUUAGCUAGAGUGUGGGAGAGGGAAGUGGAAUUUCCGGUGUAGCGGUGAAAUGCGUAGAUAUCGGAAGGAACAUCAGUGGCGAAGGCGACUUCCUGGCCCGAUACUGACACU
rnacentral:rRNA from 1 species